rnacentral:rRNA from 1 species
AGAGUUUGAUCAUGGCUCAGAACGAACGCUGGCGGCAGGCUUAACACAUGCAAGUCGAGCGCCCCGCAAGGGGAGCGGCAGACGGGUGAGUAGCGCGUGGGAAUCUACCCAUCUCUACGGAACAACUCCGGGAAACUGGAGCUAAUACCGUAUACGUCCUUCGGGAGAAAGAUUUAUCGGAGAUGGAUGAGCCCGCGUUGGAUUAGCUAGUUGGUGGGGUAAAGGCCUACCAAGGCGACGAUCCAUAGCUGGUCUGAGAGGAUGAUCAGCCACACUGGGACUGAGACACGGCCCAGACUCCUACGGGAGGCAGCAGUGGGGAAUAUUGGACAAUGGGCGAAAGCCUGAUCCAGCCAUGCCGCGUGAGUGAUGAAGGCCCUAGGGUUGUAAAGCUCUUUCACCGGCGAAGAUAAUGACGGUAACCGGAGAAGAAGCCCCGGCUAACUUCGUGCCAGCAGCCGCGGUAAUAC